CAGUGUUUAAAACGGCAUCUGGGGAGAGCUAACAUUCAGGGCUGGCCCUCCCCACAGAGUCUGACUCAGGAGGGAGCUCCCUGACUGCACCUCCAUCACCUCACCUCUGCCGGAACCCUCCAGUGACGGGGAGCUCACCACCCUGUGAAGCAGCCCUUCCAUGGGACUGUGAGAGGCACCUCCCCUGCUGGCCCAGCUCAGCCUCCCCAGCGCUCCCGUCAGCCCAGCUCUGCAGACAGCCCACCCACAUCCCCCAGGGUUCCUGCCUUCCUGAGAGUCCUCCUUCCCAGCUGAGCCCCUGUCCCCUCCCCCCAGCUGCCCCUGCUCCCGCAGCCCCUCUGGCCCCUGAGCAGGUAGGUGCCCAGGACACCUGCUCCAGCUGCUACCCCCCAGACCUCCCCUCACUUCCCUACUGCAGGCUUGGGGCAGAGCAGACACCCACAGCCCCUCCAGAUGAGGGGUCAGGGCUCCAUCUGACAGCUCAGAUAGGAGCCACCGAGGUGCAGGGAGAUU
rnacentral:lncRNA from 1 species